AUUUUUAUUGUUUAUAAGAUAUAACACCUUAUAUGGUAAUACAUGUUUUACAAGUUUGUGUAUUAGUUCCAAGCGUAUAAUUCAACAAACGAUUAAUAACAAUUAAAUGCCGUUUUCCUUAUAAUUCAGCUAGAUGGUUGUGUGCGAUAUAUGACGUGGUAUGAUAAUGAGCGGAUAAAAAAUUAUGCGAACAUAUCUUUAAACUAUUCAGGUAUUCCAAUUGUGAAUUAAGAAUGAAACAUCAAAAAUCGAUACAUUACGGAAAUAUAUAUUCUAUUCAUCUAUGAAACAGCUAUAGAGACUUGUCUUGUAAACUUUUUUCGAAACAUGUUUGUGUUUUGCAUAUAUUACAUCUCGUUCGCUGGAUAUUGAAUAAACAGUUUAUAUGUUAUUGUUGUAUACAAUUAAAAAAAAAUUGAAUUAAAACAUUUUGAGUUAUUAUAUUUUUCAUAAUAAUUUAAGACGUUAAGUUUUCCCUGCAAGGUUGGUGUCAAUAAUGGUGCAUGCAUAUGUGCUAAUUAAUUUACGAUAUUUUGGAUAAACUGUGGUAUAAAUUUGGUUUGAAAAGAGCGUUGACAAUAAGACUGUUGUUUUAAACGUAGAUGAAAGGCAUUUAUCGGUUUUGUUAAAUUUAGUUUCGUCAUAGUUAAAUGCAUUUUUAAAGAUUAGGUACUGUAAUGAUAACAAAAGUAGACCGGAUUUAUUUGCAAUAUAAGUCAUUUUGUUUUCGUGAUAGUUUUUGUUCUUGUUUGGUGGCCUGUUGGCUUGAUGUGUAAAGACAUUUUGCUUUUAUGGUGUUUGGCCGUUUUUUGAAUGCCAGUUAACAUGUGUAAUUUGCUUAUCGUUUUGGUGAAAGCCAGUUGACCAGAUGUGGAUAAACCCAGUUAGCGCGUGUAGUUUGUUAAUCAAAUUUUUUAAAACGUGCGUUUACAUUUACAUUUUUGUUUUUAUUUAAUGUUAAGAUUGUACUGUUCGAAGGAUAUUAUAUAUAUUGGAGAGCAUUAAAUGUAUGUUAUUAAGGGCCAGAUUGGCUUAUGUAAAUUAACCGGUUGGCUCGGGUUGUCCGUUGACAGUUUGUUGAAAGCAGAUUUUUUUCAGAUGCGUAUAAGCCAGUUUGCUUGCGUGUCAGUUCACAAAAAUGUCUCAAAACACAUGUUGAAAUUGCAUUUACACAUGUUUGCGAAGUUUAUUUUUUCAGAAGCUGGACAGUUCGAAGAAUAAAUAAUGAAUAGUGUAACAUUAUAGUAAGAGGGCAGCUCGAAAGUGCAGUAACUGGACAGUACGAAUGGUAUAUUAAGUAUUGGAGAACAUAAAGUUAAAACACAGUUCGAGAGGUAUAUAACGUGGUGGAGAAUAUUUAGGUAUUCAUUUUUUGUUUUAUAUUAUUUGUAUUCUCUCUUUGUUUUAUUCGAAAGUCCUGUCAAAUACAAGCACUCACUCCUAUUUUGUCUUUGGUUUAUUAUUUGUUUGAUAAUGAUAAUGAUGAUGAUAUGGGUUAUAAAGAUGAUGAGAUUUUAAUAGUAUUUUG